rnacentral:lncRNA from 1 species
CUUCCUUUCAAAACUCAUUAGUGGCAUUUAUCCUCAUUUGAAUGAGAAGAAGCCACAAAGAUUUCAACUGGAGGUUCACUCAGCAGGCCCCAGCAAUUCCCACCAAGCCUUCACACACCAUCAAUCAUUCUCUUUCAUAUGGCUUUGAAUUGGAAAAUUCUUUUCUAUUCCCAUGUCACGGGCUACUCCAGGAGCUUAGCAACUCGAGUGGUUGCCCUGGAAGAGGACUCCACCCUCCCUAACUAAGAAAGAACAGCUGCAGAGAGGAUUUCCCAUUUCUUGAUCUACAGAGAAAGACAACUCCAAGUCUAUUUUCUGCUGAGAAACUCCAAGACAGGGAAAAUGACGCAUGGAUAGAUAAUUUGCCAAUGGGGAGCUGAAGAUAAACAGACUGAAAGAAGGUAUUUUCUGAAGCUUAAUAGAAACUUACAACAGGAUUAACAAUGAAUUGAAAAGGGGGCAGCUACAAAACAGGUCAAUGUCUGAAGGUCAAGCAAAAGGAACAAAGUGAAACAAAUACCAGUAAAAUGAGAGGAAAAAUAUUCUCCUCUUGUUUGGCAAAGCUUGGACUAGAAAUGGCCCCUCUGGCAAAGAUUUCUUGGGACCUAAAGUCAACUAGUGAUGCCCACAGUCUAUGAACAAAGUAUAUUCUGUUCAUAGGCCCAUAGUCAGUGCCUAGCCAGUCCAGCUAGGUAUUUGGUUAUUUGAAGUUUCACAGCCUUUUUGUAUUUAUCAUUUGGAUCCUGACAGCCUUAGAGGAGCUGUUUCCUUCCAGCAGAGAAUUGUUGCAGACAACAUGGACCUCUGGUUGAAGGAGAUGAUGG